GACGAACGCUGGCGGCGUGCUUAAUACAUGCAAGUCGAACGGACAGGCCCUGCUUUUCUGGGGUACUGGCGUGGCCAAAGGGUGAGUAACACGUGAGUCACCUGCCCUUUACUUCGGGAUAAAUUCAGGAAACUCGGGCUAAUAACGGAUAGGCGCUUCUGCUGCAUGGUGGGGGUUGGAAAGUUUCGGCGGUUGGGGAUGGACACGCGGCUUAUCAGCUUGUUGGUGGGGUAGUGGCUUACCAAGGCUUUGACGGGUAGCCGGCCUGAGCGGGUGACCGGCCACAUUGGGACUGAGGGACGGCCCAGACUCCUACGGGAGGCAGCAGUGGGGAGUAUUGCACAAUGGGCGGAAGCCUGAUGCAGCAACUCCGCGUGCGGGAUGACGGCCUGCGGGUUGUAAACCGCUUCCGCCUGUAACGAAGCGAGAGUGACGGUAAUGGGUAAAGAAGCACCGGCUAACUACGUG
rnacentral:rRNA from 1 species